GGGAGCACAUGACACAUCUGCGACUGACGAUGGCAGAGGAACUUCUGAAAGGCUCAGUAUUCAAGAGGGGACAUUGUUGCUCAUUAUGUGCUGCCUCAAAACCCCCCAGUGGUGGUGCAAAAACAUUUUGGAUUGAAUGUCACCGUUGCAAGAGGUGGUUCCAUGUGGCAUGCCUUUCUAUGUCACAAAAGGAGUUCAAGAGAGUUCAGAAGGUUGACUGGAAGUGCUGCCUAUGCAAAUAAUUGUGGAUUGGUCAUUGGUAAUUUGUACAGUUCCCUACAAUUACCAAAAAAGUGUCAAAGGCCAAGAAAGAGUCUUGUUGGCAGCCGACUGACAUAAAAUGAAU